CGUCAUGAAGAGGGCGCUGAGCGCCAACCAUUUCCUUUGCUUCUUGGUUUCUUCUUUGUUUGUUGCUUAUGUGGNAGCCUUCUUUAGUUGCAUAGACAUAGUUUCUUCUCUUCAUUAAUGUCCUACAAAAGCAAUGUAAAGUUAUUUGUCAAAGGGAAAGAGGAUUUAGUAAUUAAUACUCCAUAAGAGUAAAGUAGUGAGUGCUCCCUCUUCCUCUUGGAUUCUCUUGGACAUGGCUCUUGUUAAAGGUCCUAUGUUGAGCUUGGAUGGUCCUCCAUCAG
rnacentral:lncRNA from 1 species